rnacentral:rRNA from 1 species
UGGGGGAUAUUGCACAAUGGGCGAAAGCCUGAUGCAGCGACGCCGCGUGGGGGAUGAAGGCUUUCGGGUUGUAAACCUCUUUCGCUAUCGAACAAGGCCCGCUUAGGGUGGGUUGAGGGUAGGUGGAGAAGAAGCGCCGGCUAACUACGUGCCAGCAGCCGCGGUAAUACGUAGGGCGCGAGCGUUGUCCGGAAUUAUUGGGCGUAAAGGGCUUGUAGGCGGCUUGUUGCUCCUGCUGUGAAAACGCGGGGCUUAACUUCGCGCGUGCAGUGGGUACGGGCAGGCUUGAGUGUGGUAGGGGUGACUGGAAUUCCAGGUGUAGCGGUGGAAUGCGCAGAUAUCUGGAGGAAAACCGAUGGCGAAGGGAGGUCACUGGGCCAUUACUGACGCUGAGGAGCGAAAGCAUGGGUAGCGAACAGG